rnacentral:rRNA from 1 species
AGUGAACGCUGGCGGUAGGCCUAACACAUGCAAGUCGAACGGCAGCACAGUAAGAGCUUGCUCUUACGGGUGGCGAGUGGCGGACGGGUGAGGAAUACAUCGGAAUCUACUUUUUCGUGGGGGAUAACGUAGGGAAACUUACGCUAAUACCGCAUACGACCUACGGGUGAAAGCAGGGGAUCUUCGGACCUUGCGCGAUUGAAUGAGCCGAUGUCGGAUUAGCUAGUUGGUGGGGUAAAGGCCCACCAAGGCGACGAUCCGUAGCUGGUCUGAGAGGAUGAUCAGCCACACUGGAACUGAGACACGGUCCAGACUCCUACGGGAGGCGGCAGUGGGGAAUAUUGGACAAUGGGCGCAAGCCUGAUCCAGCCAUACCGCGUGGGUGAAGAAGGCCUUCGGGUUGUAAAGCCCUUUUGUUGGGAAAGAAAAGCGGCAGGUUAAUACCCCGCUGUUCUGACGGUACCCAAAGAAUAAGCACCGGCUAACUUCGUG